UACAGAGGUCCCGAGCGUUGUUCGGAUUUAUUGGGAGUAAAGGGUGCGUAGGCGGCGGAGUAAGUCGGGUGUGAAAUCUCGGAGCUUAACUCCGAAACUGCAUUCGAUACUGCCGUGCUUGAGGACUGGAGAGGAGACUGGAAUUUACGGUGUAGCGGUGAAAUGCGUAGAUAUCGUAAGGAAGACCAGUGGCGAAGGCGGGUCUCUGGACAGUUCCUGACGCUGAGGCACGAAGGCCAGGGGAGCAAACGGG
rnacentral:rRNA from 1 species